UGAAUCACGAUUUAAUUUCUAAUCUAUUUCUUCCAAAUAAAUGAUUUAGACAUUAUGGUUCAGUUGGUUUUGUUUUAUUUUGAUUCAUAUGGUUUUGUGAAAUGAAUAAAGUACUUAUGGAUUUCUUAUGAGAUGAAAAUAGUUUUCUACCCCUCGUAGUAGCGUUUUUUUUAAAAAAAAGAUUUGGUAUGGGAAACGGUUUUAAAAAGAGUUUUCUUGUUUUCAUGAUUCUUAGUAUUUCAAAAUAAGUUUCCGAGUGGAAAAUAUUUUAAACUAAUAGAUGUAGAAUUAUGAAUAUCAUAUGAUUAAUUGUGAUGGAAUGAAUGUGAAUGUGGUUUUGUGAUGUGGUGUUUGUAUGUGGAUAUGUCUACAGUGUGGUUGUAUCUUAUACUUGUGUGACGUCGUGCAAAUAUAGAGGAGACUCUGUCUGU
rnacentral:lncRNA from 1 species